UACGAGGGGGGCGAGCGUUGUUCGGAAUUAUUGGGCGUAAAGGGUGCGUAGGCGGUUUGGUAAGUCUUAUGUGAAAUCUACAGGCUCAACUUGUAGUCUGCAUGAGAAACUGCCGGGCUUGAGUAUGGGAGAGGUGAGUGGAAUUCCUGGUGUAGCGGUGAAAUGCGUAGAUAUCAGGAGGAACACCUGGGGCGAAAGCGGCUCACUGGACCAUAAUUGACGCUGAUGCACGAAAGCUAGGGGAGCGAACAGG
rnacentral:rRNA from 1 species